rnacentral:rRNA from 1 species
UCGAGGGGAAACGAUAUUGGAAGCUUGCUUCCGAUAGGCGUCGACCGGCGCACGGGUGAGUAACGCGUAUCCAACCUGGCCGUCACAGGAGGAUAACCUUGCGAAAGUAAGACUAAUACCCAAUGACGUCUCUAGAAGACAUCUGAAAGAGAUUAAAGAUUUAUCGGUGAUGGAUGGGGAUGCGUCUGAUUAGCUUGUUGGCGGGGUAACGGCCCACCAAGGCAACGAUCAGUAGGGGUUCUGAGAGGAAGGUCCCCACAUUGGAACUGAGACACGGUCCAAACUCC